AGAGUUUGAUUAUGGCUCAGGAUGAACGCUAGCUACAGGCUUAACACAUGCAAGUCGAGGGGCAGCAUUGGAGUAGCAAUACUCAGAUGGCGACCGGCGCACGGGUGAGUAACACGUAUCCAACCUGCCGCUUACUCGGGGAUAGCCUUUCGAAAGAAAGAUUAAUACCCGAUGGUAUAAAGAGUUCGCAUGUUCUCUUUAUUAAAGAAUUUCGGUAAGCGAUGGGGAUGCGUUCCAUUAGAUUGUUGGCGGGGUAACGGCCCACCAAGUCUACGAUGGAUAGGGGUUCUGAGAGGAAGGUCCCCCACAUUGGAACUGAGACACGGUCCAAACUCCUACGGGAGGCAGCAGUGAGGAAUAUUGGUCAAUGGACGAGAGUCUGAACCAGCCAAAGUAGCGUGAAGGAUGACUGCCCUAUGGGUUGUAAACUUCUUUUAUAAGGGAAUAAAGUGAGGGACGUGUCCCUUUUUGUAUGUACCUUAUGAAUAAGGAUCGGCUAACUCCGUGCCAGCCGCGGC
rnacentral:rRNA from 1 species